rnacentral:tRNA from 1 species
AGGGAUGUAGCUCAGUGAUAGAGCACUUGCCUAGCAUGUGCAAGGUCCUGGGUUCGAUUCUCAGUAUUCCUA